rnacentral:rRNA from 1 species
AUGCCUAAGAAGGAUUUCAGUAUUGGUGGUGGUCAUCCCUCAUAUGCUCCAUUCAUGGCACCACAUCCAUCAAUGGCCAAAAGCAGCCCUCCCCCUUCUGAUGGCAUGAUUGCUGAUAAUGUUGAAGUCUAUAGGACUGAUAAGUGUUUACCAUGGACAAAAGAAGAGGACAAAAGACUGUUCAGUGCAUGGUUGAACAACUCAAAUGAUCCCAUAGCUGGAAAUUGCAAGAAAGCCGACCGAUACUGGCAAGAUGUCACUGCUACAUACAACAACAUCACUCCAAAAAAUAGAAAAAGAGAAAUGAACCAACUAAAGGAUCGUUUUCAUCGAGUUAACAAAAAAGUUGGUUGGUUUGCUGCAUCUUGGCAAAAGGCUACUGGAAUUUAUGCUAGCGGACAAUCAGAUUUACAGUUGCAGGAGAAAGCUUUGAAGUUCUAUGAGGAAGACUACAAAGAUGGACAAUUCAAAUACAUGCACUGUUGGAAGGCUGUUGAAGGUUGGCCAAAAUGGGAGACAUACAUGCAGAUGCUUAAGAAGUUGAAGAAAAGAAAGGUUUCAGAGGUUGUGGAACCAUUAGAGGACAUGGAAUCAGAUGAAGAUCCACGUCCACCAGGGAACAAGACUGCUAAGACUGAACAGAAGAACAAGGCCAAAGGCAAAGAGAAGACGUUGAUUGGAAUAGUAAUUGAUGAGAUGGAGGAAAAGCUCGACAAGUUUAUGGCUGCUCAGGCUGAAGCUAACAAGGGUCAGAAUGAUAUGGUUGAAGUGGCAAGGCUCAAUGCUAUUGCAACUAAGGAGAAAAAAGAGGCAAAAAUGUUGGAUACGUUCAAGUGGCUCUUUUCACAAGACACAACAAGUAUGUCGGACGAGAUGAAAGCCGAGCAUAUGAAAGCUGUGAAUUCUAUGUCUGAGAAGUUAUUUGGCCAAUCGGACUGA